GUUUCGAAAACAGUGAGCAAUGUCUCUGCCUCCAAGUCGUAAUGUACAUAGAUCGAGCUCUCUAUCUGAAAGGUUAAGCUCCUCAGAUUUCUGAAUCAGAGAGACAAAGACGAAGAGGCUGCAAUCUCAAGCAAUGUACAGUGUAUCGAUUGAUGGCCAAGACCACGAAGCAUCGCGUCCGAGGAAGAUUCCACCAUCGUCGUCCCUGUUAUGGGCCCGAAACCUUCGCCAUUACAUCGGAUCCGGUUCUGGUCUCGGUUCUAAAGCAUUAAUGGAACUUGAGACAGAGAAUAUUGCUUAAUAUUUUCAAAGAGAAGCAGCAAAAGAGUGCUGAAGCUGGCACAAUUCCAAGCUUCUAUAAGAAGGUAAGCAUUGUUAUUGUUGCUUAGGUGUUUGAGUUAAUAUAGGCCAGGUGAUUUUGUCACUUUCUUUCUUGCUCUUUUUGCAGACAAAAUUUGUCCAUUUGUUUUGGUAUCUACUUGGAUAGAGCUUGAGUGCAAAUGCUGAAGGGAGAAGAAACCAGAAGAAGGCUCCAUCAGUCACAGGGUCUAGAGGGUGGCUAAAUAUCGUUUUCUAAAGAAGCAAUCUGAUCUUUUACUAAAUGCUGAUGAUCUGGAUGCCAUGUGGGUUUGCUUCAAAGAAAAUUGUGUGAUUGAUGAUGCCACUGGUGCUGAAAAGAUGAAUUAUGAGGACUUUUGCCACAUUGCCUCUGUGUGUACAGAACAAAUAGGCCCUAAAUGUCGACGCUUUUUCAGUCCGUCAAACUUCAUGAAGUUCGAGAAAGAUGAGUCAGGAAGAAUUGCCAUCCUGCCAUUUUACCUUUAUGUCAUGCAUACGAGAUGUACACCAGAAAUGGAUUGAAGGAGGGAACUAUGAGCUUUGUAUUGAGGCCGUAAGAGAUUGGGACAUGGUGAAACCAUCUGACCCUCUACGGAUCACUCUGGCUGAUCUAUUGGCUUGCAAAUAGGGUGGAACUGUUGCCAGCAUGCUUGUAGAUGUGCGCGGUUUCUGGGCCCAUGACAAUAGAGAGAAUCUUCUCCAAGAAGAGGGAGAACCGGAAGAAGAAUGAUAGACGCACCGAAUUCACCGUCAGGCAUGUGUUUGCUGUAUCACGAGAGUUUGCAGUGUCAUAUAGGUUAUAAUUUUGUGAAAUAAUGGCACUAGUGGUAGUGUUAGAUUGGAAUCAGGGGCCACAAAAAAUUGAAGGAAUACUUUUGAAAUCAUGUUUUAUGUCAAUCUAGGAACCCUGUACUGCAUGAUUUUUUUAACAGGUAUAUGGAAGGCAGAGCAAAGGUUGUCAUGUUGUGGGUCAGAUUUCAGCUUUUCAACAUAUUGAUGUUCAUGGUUAACUUAGUCCAUCUCUGUUUGGCUGUAGGAGUAGACAACCCCCUUUGGUGCAAACCUAUAGCAGUGAUAAGAACAACUCAACUGCCGUGCCUGUAAGAAUAAUUUUGUAUGAAAAGAAGUAAAGAGUAAGAACAAAAAAAUUAUCACAUUUUCAUGUUGAAAGAUGAAUAAGUCCAUUUGUUUAGUUCUA